rnacentral:rRNA from 1 species
UACAGAGGUCUCAAGCGUUGUUCGGAUUCAUUGGGCGUAAAGGGUGUGUAGGUGGCGCGCUAAGUCGGGUGUGAAAUUUCGGAGCUUAACUCCGAAACUGCAUUCGAUACUGCGGUGCUUGAGGACUGGAGAGGAGACUGGAAUUCAUGGUGUAGCAGUGAAAUGCGUAGAGAUCAUGAGGAAGACCAGUGGCGAAGGCGGGUCUCUGGGACGGUACUGACGCUGAGACGCGAAAGCGUGGGGAGCAAACAGG